rnacentral:rRNA from 1 species
UCAAUAGCCUAACGGCUGAACCAGCAACUUGGAGGAAUGUAUAGCUAAAGCUAACUUGUAUUUUGAAAAAAAUAUAGAUUCGAUUUAUUCGUAUAAAGUUCAAGGUAGAAUUAUGAUAAUGACAUUGUCUAUCUAUAGUCUUGACCAACAUGCGUGCCAGCGGUCGCGGUAAGACGCUAAAGACUAGUGUUAUUCAUCUUUAAUAGGUUUAAAGCGUACCUAGACGGUAAAUCAAGCCUUAAUCGGGACUAAUUUAACUAGAGUUAGAUGUAAGGGUGCAUUAACGUACUGUUGAGUGUAGAGAUGAAAUUCUUUGAUACCAGAUAAUUGGCACGGGUUUAGGCGAAAGCAUCACCUUAUGUAAUAACUGACGUUGAAGGACGAAGGCUUUGUAUCGCGAACAGGAUUAGAUACCCUAGUAGUCUAAGCAGAAAAUGAUGAGUGUCAUAGGUUAAAUAUUAUUUAGUCUAUAAAUGAAAGUGUAAGCAUUCCACCUCAUGAGUAAUUUGGCAACAUUGGAAUUGAAAUCAUUAGACCGUUUCUGAAACCAGUAGUGAAGUAUGUUGUUUAAUUAGAUGAUACACAAAGAACCUUACCACAAUUUGAAUAUUUUAUUUUACAAGCGUUGCACGGCUGUCUUCAGUUAAUGUCGUGAGAUUCUGGUUAGUUCCAUUUAAUUAACGUAAACCCUUACUUUAUUUUAUUUUAUAUAAAGUUGUUCACCGCUAGAUUGGUAUUGAUAAAAGG